rnacentral:lncRNA from 1 species
UUACACCUUAAAAGUAGUCAGCUCUCUUCAGCUAGCAAAUUCCCAAUGGUACAGUCUUGGACUUCUCCUCUUGCCCAACCAUGGGAUCCUUCUGAUAUAGCUGAUUCCUGGAGUAACCCGAGAGCUUGUACUUCUGAACCCUUGGUUCUUUCUGGACCUCAGAACCCUCCAACAGCUGAUAUACCUAUACCUUGGGAUCUUCCUCAGAGAGAUGCAAUGAAAUAUCAAUAUCGAACUAUGACUGAUACAGUAGGAUCCUGGGUUAAACCUUUAGCUGGCAUAAUAGGGCUUCAUACUCUACCAUUGGUUAGUGUUGGAAAAACCUGGGUUCUGUUUUCUAGUGACAUAGAUGGAUCCCAAGUCCCUUCUGAGAUUAAUACUGUCCAGUCUCAAGUUCAAUCCAGUAAGGUUCCUUUCCAUGGUCAACUUCUAGCUAGACCCUGGCUAGAAAUUACCCCUGACCUUGGACCUUGGACACGUUCUGUGCCUGUUACAACUGGAACAGUGGUGCAGAUUCAGUCCUGUGAAGAGAGUGUUAGAACCCAAAUACACCACAUAGUUGACAGAGUCAACACUGUUGCUAAGCCAGUAACCUAUAACCUGCAUCCAUGGGUCCCUUUAGUAGUUAACAAAAUUGAAUUCUGGACUCAUUCCACACUAAAUGCAGAUGGAUCCCAGUAUCCUACAGCAACUCAGACCUUAGAACCCUGGCUUCAGCCGUUAUUCAAUAUAGUUGGAUCCCAAGAAGCUGUAGAAAAGAAAGACAAGUACUGGGUUUUCCCUGAAUCUAAGUCAACUCAGUUUUGGACAUCCUCAGCACUUAAUGUGCCCUUUGCAUGGGCUCCAUCAGCAGGGAAUAGUCUUGGGCCUUGGGCUCAAUAUAAGGCCGAUAUGAUCAGACCCUCAAGACAAAUGGAUAGAAUUCAUCCAUUGAGUAAACAUGGGGCUAUAAUAGUCAAACCCCAGAUGCAGACUAUAGACACAACAUGGCCCUUGGCCCAUACUAUUGCUAAUGAA